UUCAUCGCUCGCGAUGUUUAACUGACAUGAUUGUGGGACGUCCUACCGGUGGGCUUAGCUCCUCACGGGGCGGUCCAGCUAAUAUCCCAUCCUGGUGCUCUUCAUCGAGUGUCGAGGUGGGCCGGUACGUUUACUUUGAACAAAUUAGAGUGCUCAAAGCAGGCUAUUAUUCGCCUGAAUUCUCGUGCAUGGAAUAAUGGAAUAGGACCUCGGUUCUAU
rnacentral:rRNA from 1 species